rnacentral:rRNA from 1 species
CCUACGGGUGGCAGCAGUGAGGAAUAUUGGUCAAUGGUCGGGAGACUGAACCAGCCAAGCCGCGUGAGGGAUGAAGGUACAGAGUAUCGUAAACCUCUUUUGCCAGGGAACAAAGGCGGGGACGUGUCCCCGGAUGAGUGUACCUGACGAACAAGCAUCGGCUAACUCCGUGCCAGCAGCCGCGGUAAUACGGAGGGUGCGAGCUUUAUCCGGAUUUCUUGGGUUGAAGGGGUGCGCAGGCGGUCUGGUAAGUCAGCGGACAAAGCCCGGGGCACAACCCCGGCCCGCCGUUGAAACUGGCAGUCUCGAGUGGGAGAGAAGUAGGCGGAAUGCGCGGUGUAGCGGUGAAAUGCAUAGAUAUCGCGCAGAACUCCGAUUGCGAAGGCAGCAUGCCGGCUCCACACUGACGCUGAGGCACGAAAGCGUGGGUAUCGAACAGGAUUAGAUACCCGAGUAGUC